UGUUCCUCCCCUUCUGGUCUAGGAGCAGUCUCGUGCACCAGGCCGGCUGCUGUGCAGGAACAUGCCUUGACUUGUUACGGUGGCCAAGUGCAGCAGAGCGAGAAACACACACACACACACACAAGUGGCUUUUUAGUCAAAGUCUGCAGAACACCUACAGAUGACUGGCUGAUACCAAACGUGGACUGAGGAGCUGCUUGCUUUACCGCCUUGGACGGCAACGUACAGUCCUGCGUUAAGAUGAAGGUGACUUCCUACAGCCCUGAUUUGCAGACGCUGUACACACAGGUUCAGGAGCAGGAGACCCAUUAACCAGAGCUCGUCAGACAAAGAAAGUGGAAGGGUUCAAGGUGCCAGAGUCGAGGAGGACGGUGGCAGUUAGGACCAGCUGGCGGGAGCAGGCAUUCUGUUUCUGUGGGUGUUUCUCUGGCAGUGUCUUAGCUGGUUGUUGUGAGGAGUGAGAACGAAGCAAUCAGCAAGUAUACUGCCGCAGAAAUUCUUUGCAAUAAAAGUCCUCGGCACCGGCGUUUACUAAUGUAAGUUGUAAAGACAUGGUCGAAAUUUGAGAAGCGACCAACUGAAAAAUGCCAAUUCAAGAUUGUGUUGAAUCAAGGCCUCACGUUAUAGUUUAUAAGCGCUCUUCUGCCGCCACCUGGUGGCUAAAAUAAACUCCCAGCAUGAAAUCAAACUGACUAUGGUAUGCUAAUUCAGUUGCUCCGUUUCAAUUUGCGAAUUUUUGCUGAUUUACUAGGGCAGUCUCAAAAAUAUGUCAUCUUGUUCAAGAUAUUGAAAUCCAAGAGUUGUAUGUUGAAAUCGGCUUUGACAAAAUUAAUCAUCCUGCGUUACGAUCUAGAAAUAUUCAUUUCCCACAAUUACUACUGUAUCUUUGAGUUAUGUAUUACUGUAAUGCAUCUUUAAGUUACAUAAAGUAGUUGCACGGGAGUAUGUUGAACAGCUCCGUAUAAUGCAAUAUUGUACAUGACAUUGUUGGGGUUGCAUUUUUCAAUCAAACCAUUAACAAAAUUAAAUAAAUAUCUCUGUAAAUCACAGUUGAGCAUCAUUAUAUUUGAUGCAGCUCUUGCAUUUGAUAUUAUAUGGUGCAAGUGGUCAUAGAGUGUGGCUUUUCUUGUCAGUGUACAGUCAAUUGUUCAUUAAUCGUGAGCGGUGAUGUAUUUUACUCUAAGAAAAGUAUUAAAUGAAUAAAAUGUGAUGGAAACAA